CUACCAUGCAGUUCGAACGAUGAAGCCCAGCUUGCUGGGUGGAUUAGUGGCGAACGGGUGAGUAACACGUGAGUAACCUGCCCUUGACUCUGGGAUAAGCCUGGGAAACUGGGUCUAAUACCGGAUAUGACCUUCCAUCGCAUGGUGGUUGGUGGAAAGCUUUUGUGGUUUUGGAUGGACUCGCGGCCUAUCAGCUUG
rnacentral:rRNA from 1 species